UUGUGAGUUAGGAGAUGAUUUCUGCUCCUAGCUGUCGGCUACUCAAUCUCUUGGCACCUCAGUUUGCUCAUCUGACAAGUGGGCCCCUUAACGGUUGCCCUAUCCAAUUGAGAGGAAAGGAGAGCUCUUGCUUGACAGCAUUGUUGGGUGCCAGCUGUGCUGUGGGCUCCUUAGAUCUGCCAUCUCAUUUAAUGCCCAAGACAAUCCCAUGAGGGAAGUGGCAUUAAGCUCUUCUUCAGCUGAAAGAACUGAAACACGGAGAGUCAAAGUGGCUUGUCCAAGAUCAUAAAGCUUAUCAGGACUCAAGCCCACAUCUGUCUGGCUUCAAAUCCUGUGUUCUUCCUAUUACUUCAUGCUAACAAUGAGGUCAUAGAACACAUUCUAGUCUCCUCCUUGGAAGGGAAAAAGCACAAAGUGGCUUCCCUGCUGUAAGGCCCAAGAUGUUCCUGGGUCCUUGGUCCCCACAGAGAGCCCAACUAAGCCCAGUUCUGUUUCCUCAGAGCCCUGCUUUCUGCUGUGGGAGCAGCCCAAGCUAACCAUAAGCUCCUAUGGAGUGGGAGUAAGCAGGAUGCAGUCCUCCGUAUCUCCUCGAGAAACUGCACAGAACACCAUGGAAGGCACUCACCUGUGGAUGAACAGCUUAAAAUCACCCAGGGUUUUUCCUACCCACUCAGUGGCCUGAGCAGUGGGAGCUGCAGACCAGCCUGCUGUGGAGGACCAUGCAUGCCUUUCUUCAGUAGUGUACCACAUCAUUUGAUAUUUGCGUAUGUUGUGAAAUGAUCACCACAAUAAGUCUAGUUGACAUCUGUCACCACACCUGGCCCGGAUUUACGUGUUUUUUUCUUGUGAUGAGCACUUUUAAGAUCUACUCUCAGCAAACUUCAAAUGGGCAAUACAGUAUUAUUAACUAUA